CAGUGAAAGUACACAGUGAGAAGGCAAAUGGUAGAUGGAGAGCAUGGAGUACUGAGAGGAAAAAAAAAAAAAAAAAAGAGUAGAAUCUGGCCCACGUCCUUUAAUUUCUGUGUUGUCUCUAGUUUGUAAAGAUUUUAUGGAUAGAAGUGAAGGUUAGAGGGUAAAUACUUACAGUGUUUCCUGUGAAGGAAAAAUACUCUAAUCUGUGUGAAUUCUCGCUGAAUGCAGUGCGUUUAAGACAUUGGGGAGGUGACUACUGUCCACUGUCCCGGGGUGGUGAGACAGAAAAGGACUGCACAAUUUUCUUUUUUCUUUCCUUUUAAAAAUGCUUUUGUUCACCCAAAUUACAACAGAAAAAUAUAGAAGUCCUCUUUACAAAAGCACCAUCACCAUUGGAAAUUCUAGAGACCACAUAGCAGGUUUUUAAACAGGAACAAAAGGGAUUCUGACCAAUUACUGUAUAUGAACAGUUUCUUAUACAAUUUUUAACUUCAUGAUUAAAAGGAGAAACAAGCUGACAUACUGUAACCAAUUUUAAGGCAGAUUAUGUUAUUCUAAUCUGCUUUAACAAUCACUGAUCAUCUACACUGGUGAUUAUUGAAUCAAUACUGAUGUCGCUUCAAUAAUCACGUCUGUCUUUUGGAGAGGAGCAUCUGGAGGACUUUAAUUUUUGAUUUUAAGGUCUUUCUCACUGAACGCAGCAGGCUGUUGCACGGUCAAGUUACAUUCAGAAAAUUAAAUAAGCAAAAAUAAAUUUAAAGUUAAACUUUUUUUUUUUCUUUUAAACUUUCAAAACAAAUCAUAGUAAAAAGAAAGUACAUCCCCCACAAUUUUAGGUUUCACGUAUCAGGACAUGAUAAUAAAAUUCUUAGUGGUUUCUUAAAUUAUUUAACUUCAACUUCAGAUAAACAACAACAUGACAUAUUUAUUACACAAAUUAUUUAUCUAAUAAAAACAAAAGCAAAUGCAGAAGCAGUGUGUGAGCAUCUACGUAUGAUUCAGCCGAUUGAAGAAUAACCUUUAGCAGCAAGAACAUUUUACUGUUGAGUUUACCAGUGGUCACUGUGGAGGAAGUCUGACCCACUGACACAAUGCUGAAGUAACACAUUCGAGUCUAGAAUAGGCUGAUAUACAGAGGAGUUUGUAGUUCUGUGGCUGUAAAAUGAGCCCAAAUCAUCACACCUCCACCGCCGUACUUGACGGUUAAUGUGAGGCGUUUGUGCUGAUGUGUUUGGCUUUUGUGAAAUGUGAUUGUGCAUCACGGACAAACAUCUCUACUUUGGUCUCGCCUGUCCAAAGGACAUUGUUCCAGAAGUCUUUUGGUUUGUCCAGAUCCACCUUGGCAAAGCCGAGCCAUGCAGGCUUUCUCCUGGCAACCUUUCCAAACAAGCCUUACCUGUUCAGUCUUUUUCUAACUGUAAUGCCAUGACCUUUAACAUUUAACAACCAACUGAAGCCUGCCAAGUCUGAUACGCAGCUCUUUUUGUUGCGGUUUCUCUGAGCGUUGCGUAAUCUGACCAUUGUUGGGACAUCCACUCCUGAGAAGACUGGCAACUGUCUUGAAUAUUUUCCACGUGUGAAUAAUUCUCACUGUACAAUGAAGACCUUAUAUAACCUUAUAAUCCCUUCCAGAUCGAUGGCCAGAAACAGCGGCUUCUCUAAGAUCAUUGUGGUUGUCUUUGUUAAAUAAACACUCACUCAUAGGUGCUCAAACAUGGUGUUGAUCAAUUAAUCAAGUGCAUUUGCUAUUACUUCACCUGGAAUUUCCAAAGGAAACAGUCAGGGACUACUUAGCUUUUUCCCCCACACACUACUUCUGCAUUUGACGUUUUUAAAAAAAAAACAAAACAAAAAACAGUGACAUGAUGUAAUAUGUCAUGUGUUGUUGUUGUUGUUCAUCUGACGUUGUAUUUAACUAAUUUUAAGACCGGUUGAUUUUUUAUCAUUUUCUGACACAUAAAUGUAAGAAUGUACACAGAAAUCUCUUAUUGUGCAGCUGCAUCAAAACACAGCCUGGUUAAAGUCUGGCCGUGUACUUUGUUUCAUGCAGUCCCCCAUGCUGUCUCCACGCACAUUUACAGUCAGUCUGUCAUUUGCCCCGUCAAAAAAAGCAAAAGAAAAUAUAUAAAUAAUUGCAAUUUGGGUGAACUGACCUUUAGAUUUUAAUUUAUUUAAAGAUAAGACGGUCCAAUUAACUGGAAAACCUGCAUCUAAGUAAGGAAAACUCCUGAUUUCACUCGGAUGAAAUCCAAGAGUCCCAUCUUUGUGAUUUUUCUCCCACCAAAAUCACCAGAGCCACCGAAAGGAUAAAGAAAUCCCACCCAGCAAAGACCUGAUCCACCGGAGGCGGAGUUAUUAUCAGAAGCAGGUGCUGGGUUGCUGAGGGAGUGGGCAUGGACCGGAGGGCCAGAGAUGGGAUGCUGAGCCGCAGCUGACUGAAGCUGUGCCAGGCGAGGGUCAUGCCAAGUGGUUGUCUUAUCCAGGCAGCUGUCAAGCAAAAGUGCAGCAAAUGUGACUGUAAAUUAAUCACUUGAACAAUCAGUGUGAUCAAACUCUUAUAAGAUGCCACCUUGAGAUUUGGAAAAUUGUGAAAACCACUUGUUGCAACACAGGAUGAGUGCCAAUGCACAACAGAGAGGACUGGAACAAGACGAACGGGGCUCCUCCUACACAGGAACCUUUCUAAUAACUGCAGAGCAUGAGAGAUGGAACACAGAUAAACUGGAGGUUAA